UACGUAGGGUGCGAGCGUUGUCCGGAAUUAUUGGGCGUAAAGAGCUUGUAGGCGGUUUGUCGCGUCUGCUGUGAAAUCUCAAGGCUCAACCUUGAGCUUGCAGUGGGUACGGGCAGACUAGAGUGUGGUAGGGGGAGACUGGAAUUCCUGGUGUAGCGGUGAAAUGCGCAGAUAUCAGGAGGAACACCUAUUGCGAAGGCAGCUCGCUGGGACGUUACUGACGCUGGAGAACGCGAAAGCGUGGGGAGCAAACAGG
rnacentral:rRNA from 1 species